AUAGCAGUCGUUUUCAGCGUUGGAUCUGUAAUCACUAUGCAUGAAACACGCCUGUCUUGUUUUGUACUGUUGGAAGCUUUUAACAGAUAAUCGACAACGUUAAGAGGUAUCACAACACCCAGGCCAUGGCAACUCAAGGCUACUGGCCGCCUCCGUGGACAAACAACACUACUACUACCAGUAUUACGCCACAGGCAACCGCGCCCCCCGACCCAAUAGUCGCCCUCCUGGAAUGGUUUGGUCGCUUACCAACAGCUGUGAAAGUGGGAAUUGGAUGUUCACUGGUGUUUACAGUGGCCGUCAUCAUCAUGCUCGCAAUUUUCAUUUCCCACCGUUGCAAGAAAUCAAAGAUACCCGUCAACCUUGAAAACGAGGACCUGUUCAAGAGCCAGU